UGUAUAUUCCCCAUGCCCCCUCCCAAGUUGCUGUUGGAUGAUAAUGAAGAUAAUGCCUCAGCCCUCCUAUCCCACUGCACUGCAGCCUCUAAUUGAUUUCCCCUAGGAAGCGACAGCUGCCAUGGAGCCUCACACCCCUUGCACCCACGGCCUUUGGGACUGUGUUUGGGAUAUCAUCAUAUACUGUAAGUUUGUUUUAAGACACUACAGUAUAGAUGAUGUACUACACCAAGUCUCACAAGCACGCACUGUCCACGCGCCAAUGAGAUUCAGCAGGAUUAUGUCGCCUCUUCUGACUUUCAUUUCUCCCACAUAGCACUUUAAUGGUUAAUACAAUGUCUCUUGCCAAUGCAUAAUUAACUAAUUGUCCGUCACACAGGCCAGCCAAACACAUUUAUAUUAGAUGUAAUUAAAGUAGAUUUUAGCUAAUAAGAAAAUGUACUAUUUAUAGACAAAGUACUCUCUUCCAUGUCCUCUACUAAUAGACAGUAAAUAGAUUACUGCAUGCUCAGACUGCUCCCUCAGCUUUAUAUAUUUAUAUAUAUUUAUAUAUAUAUAUAUGUAUAUACACAGUAUAUAUAUAUAUAUAUAUACAGUAUAUAUAUAUAUAUUUACAGUGUAUAUAUAUAUAUAUAUAUAUAUAUAUAUAUAUGUGGAUGCACAGGCAUUCUCCAUAAACUUAAUGAGACAGAUACUCUAGUGGUCAUUACUACAUUGCCUACAGAGAAUGCUUUAACUUAGGCAAGCAAUAUGGCAGCUCUGAUAAAUGAGAAGUUACUAUCAUAUGAGAGGGAGCAACUGCAAUGUCCAGUGUUCCGGCUCCGGAGUGAAGCAGAGGAUGGCUGACCAACUGCUUUGGCAGGAUACCUGUAGAGUGGCAAUGAAACCGUUACCAUUACUGAGUUUAGUAAUGGUAAGGGUUCUGUUGCUGCUCUUCCAUUCGCCAUUGAGAUUCCAGAGGAAGCAAGCGCAAUGAAUAAAUGAAUGCACCAUAACUGUCACCUUCUGCAUGUCUGCGACUUCUUAUUUCAUGAAUUGUGUACAAAAUAAAAUGUUCUAAUUACAAAAUG